AACGAACGCUGGCGGCGGGCUUAACACAUGCAAGUCGCACGAGAAAGCUCUUGCUUGCAGGAGCGAGUAAAGUGGCGCACGGGUGAGUAACGCGUGGCUAAUCUACCUUUGGGUUUGGGAUAACGUCUCGAAAGGGGCGCUAAUACCGGAUAAGACCACGGUGUCCACGGGCACUGGGGGUAAAAGUGGGCCUCUACAUGUAAGCUCAUGCCUGAAGAUGAGGCCGCGUCCCAUUAGCUUGUUGGUGAGGUAACGGCUCACCAAGGCCGCGAUGGGUAGCUGAUCUGAGAGGAUGAUCAGCCACACUGGGACUGGAACACGGCCCAGACUCCUACGGGUGGCUG
rnacentral:rRNA from 1 species